CCCUAUUAGAGGUGACGCCUGCCCGAUGGUUCAUCCUAAGUUAACUCUCAUUAAUGAACCUGAACUCAAUGGCCGCGGUAUUUCUGACCGUGAUAAUGUAGCGAAAUCAAUCGUCACUUAAUUGCUGACCCGUAUCAAAGGUAUUACGAAUGUUCCCCUGUCUCAAGAAAAACCCCUGUGAAAUUGAAGGGGCUGUGCAUAUGCGGCCCACACACCUGUAAGACGAAAAGACCCUAUUGAGCUUUACUAUACCCUUUUCUUUAACACCUAAGAAAAUGAGAAACCCUCUAACCUUAGUUUCGGGAAAGGCUGGUAGUUUCGUUGGGGCGACGACCUUUCAAAAAGUAACAAAGGUUAGCGAUGGUUUUUCAUUUAAUGAUUUCCAGCCUGACUGUUUGGCCUAUAAGCCUACCAGACACCUUCGUGAGCCAUAGAUUUCCAUUUUAAAUUAACACCUAAAAUGCCAUAACAUAAAAGUUACCAUAGGGAUAACAGCGUAAUUUUGUCGAAGAGCUCUUAUCGAUGACAAAGAUUGCGACCUCGAUGUUGAAUUGUGGUAUCCUGGGGGUGUAGCCGCUCCC
rnacentral:rRNA from 1 species